ACGCUUUGUCUAUAUGGUGACUUUUGCCCACCGCACAAAGGAAAGCUUUAAUAUGGACAGGGUAGAGCAACACUGAUACAGAAGACACACUCAGCGAAAAAGCCAUCGCGGGCAGCACAUGUAAAAUGCAUGACGAUUUGCACAGACGAAAUUUAUCUAAGUUGUUGUAGGAGCCGUUCACGCAUAAAAUACACCAAUGUGAUAGACCAUGAAACGGCGAGUUUCUACCCAAUAGUUAAACAUUCUUGUCUAUGUUUCGUAACUCACAGAGCGCCGACAUCGAGAGCGAAGGGAACCAAAUGCCAACGCCAGUGACACAACCUACCGGAAGGACACGCCCACCAGCUCCGGAAGUACACGCACCGAGAGAAGACACCGACUAUGAAAACAUUGAAAUGCCGACGCCACUGCGGAAUAAUGACGCGGCUGGUGGAAAACCUGCUAACAGACAUGAGGAGGUAAGGAGAGAAGAUAGCGCAGGCGUUUUGAUUUUUACUUGGUAGGAACUAAUCUACUGAGGUGGAGAGUCAUUUCCUGUACUAGUCACUAGUGAGCAGCAUUAAACGUGGUUGUUUUGAUCUUGAAAAGCGAUGUGAUCACUGUUUACAUGCAUUUAAACGUAGGUUGCGAAAGUAGAACGGUGUUGUUGAGAGUUCGAUUUCUGGCG
rnacentral:lncRNA from 1 species